AUGAUUGGUGCUUUUUGGAAUAUAAGAGGCCUAAAUGUGUCCUCUAAAAUUACCAGGCUGCAGGAGCUUAUUAAAGCCACUUGCCCUGAUUUUAUUUGCAUUUCUGAAACUAAGAAAACUAAUUUUACUCUUCCUCAACUAGAUGCCAUUGAUACUAGAAGUGGUUUCUGGUGGAAAUGGCUUCCUGCUAUCAAUACAGCAGGGGGGGUCCUAGUUGGUGUUAAGGAAGAUAAUUUUGACAUAGUUAAGUGUGAUAUAAAGUCUUAUUGUAUUUCCUGUAUUUUAAAAUUUAAGCACAAUAGCACUGUGUGGAGACUAGUAGCAGUUUAUGGGUCUGCUUAUGAGGAGCAUAAGCUUGACUUUAUCAAUGAGUUGCAUUCUGUUUUAGCUAGCUGGUCUGGACCUACUUUAGUAGGUGGAGAUUUUAAUCUUAUCAGAGUAGCUGGGGAGAAAAGUACGGGUUUGAUUAACCAUCAUUGGGCAGACCUUUUUAAUGAUUGGAUCAACAAGUAUGGUCUCAUAGAAUUAAAAAUGCGGGUAGAAAAUUUACUUGGGCUAAUAACCAGGAUGACUUGGUUAUGGCUACUUUAG
rnacentral:rRNA from 1 species